GAUGAACGCUAGCGACAGGCUUAACACAUGCAGGUCGAGGGGCAGCACGGGAGUAGCAAUACAACUGGUGGCGACCGGCGCACGGGUGAGUAACGCGUAUGCAACCUGCCUAUCAGGGGGAAUAACCCGGCGAAAGUCGGACUAAUACCGCAUAAAACAGGGGCACCGCAUGGUGAUAUUUGUUAAGGAAAUUCGCUGAUAGAUGGGCAUGCGUUCCAUUAGGUAGUUGGUGAGGUAACGGCUCACCAAGCCGACGAUGGAUAGGGGAACUGAGAGGUUGGUCCCCCACACUGGUACUGAGACACGGACCAGACUCCUACGGGAGGCAGCAGUGAGGAAUAUUGGUCAAUGGGCGAGAGCCUGAACCAGCCAAGUCGCGUGAAGGAAGAAGGAUCUAUGGUUCGUAAACUUCUUUUGCAGGGGAAUAAAGUGCAGGACGUGUCCUGUUUUGUAUGUACCCUGAGAAUAAGGAUCGGCUAACUCCGUGCCAGCAGCCGCAGUAAAAC
rnacentral:rRNA from 1 species